GUCUCUGUGGCGCAGUUGGUUUAGCGCGUAGGUCUCAUAUCAUUCAUGAUCUACCUCAGUGUAGGGCCAUCCUAAGGUCGCAAGUUCGAGUCUUGCCAGGGACA
rnacentral:tRNA from 1 species